AGAUUGAACGCUGGCGGCAGGCCUAACACAUGCAAGUCGAGCGGUAGAGAGGUGCUUGCACCUCUUGAGAGCGGCGGACGGGUGAGUAAUGCCUAGGAAUCUGCCUAGUGGUGGGGGAUAACGUUCGGAAACGGACGCUAAUACCGCAUACGUCCUACGGGAGAAAGCGGGGGACCUUCGGGCCUCGCGCCAUUAGAUGAGCCUAGGUCGGAUUAGCUAGUUGGUGAGGUAAUGGCUCACCAAGGCGACGAUCCGUAACUGGUCUGAGAGGAUGAUCAGUCACACUGGAACUGAGACACGGUCCAGACUCCUACGGGAGGCAGCAGUGGGGGAAUAGUUGGAC
rnacentral:rRNA from 1 species